UUUGCGCUUUUGUGUUGUGCUAAGCUUUUGUGUUGUGUCCGCCCGGCCUGUUUCAGGCGAUAGGACGAGGAGUGGACUGGGGGGGGCUGGCAGACGGGCGAGCAGCGGUCCCUGGAGGGAGUCCUGCUACCACCCGUCCUCCUCCCUCCCAUUCGCGCGGGCAAGAAAGAAGAUGUAUAAAAGAGAGAACAACUUAGCGCAAGGGAGGGAAACGGUGUUUACUUGCAUUAAGGAGCUGCUCAGCUUUCCCUCCAGGCUGGCUUGCUAUCUAUGGAAUGCAGAGAGGAAGGAACUCCAGGGAGAGCCAAUUAGGUGGCUGUAGCUGGUGCCACAAGAAGAGAGGCAAGCAAGAGGAAACAUUAACCCUUCCCUCCCCCUGAUUCUGCUAAUGGCGGUGGUGGCAGCAGGGGAGAAACCUCACUUGAGCACGCACACAGUCAGAACGAAGACCAGCCAGACACUCUCCCAGCAGCAUGCAGUGCACGCGUGAUGACUUGCCGGAACCAACAGAAGAAAGGUUUUGUAUCUACCCAUGCCUGACUACAAAUCUCCCCUUCGGCUUCCAAGAUUCCAUGUCUCACCUUUCAAGUUAAUCACAUGUAAGAAACGUUAGUGGGAAAGAUGCCUUUCACUGCUACUCCCAGCUGGUACGCCUGCCAUCUGCCCCCCCCCCAAGCUUUGCAGCUGCAAUUAAAUCAUCACAAAAACAGCUUAUUAAAAUAUUAUAUGCAUUAGCCUGCA